UACGGAGGGGGCUAGCGUUGUUCGGAAUUACUGGGCGUAAAGCGCACGUAGGCGGCUUUGUAAGUUAGAGGUGAAAGCCCAGGGCUCAACCCUGGAAUUGCCUUUAAGACUGCAUCGCUUGAACAUCGGAGAGGUAAGUGGAAUUCCCGGUGUAGCGGUGAAAUGCGCAGAUAUCGGGAGGAACACCAGUAGCGAAGGCGGCUCGCUGGGCCAUUCCUGACGCUGAGACGCGAAAGCUAGGGGAGCGAACAGG
rnacentral:rRNA from 1 species